GGGAUCUUGAUGGAGCCUCUCCCCCCCAACCCUCCCUCCCACCCGCACCCUUGCUGUUCCUUGUUUGUGUGCAGAGCUUUGAUGGUGGUUCCAUGCCUGGCCCAUCCCCGCCUCAACUUCCAGGACAUUCCCUCCCCAGCUCCAGCCUGGAGGGGUUAGGGACCAAGGUCCCCGGAGGCCAAAGGGCCGUAAUCACCCCUCGUGCCCACCCACAGCUGUGCUCACUGGCACCGUCACCUCUUCCCCUCUGGGACCAGGACAGAUCCUGGGCCACUUCAGCCUGGCCUGGAAAUAGCAUGAGGCAGAGGCAUUGGGUCCCAGGGGACCCAGGCCCCGGCAGAGCCACAAUACCUACCCUCUCUGCGUGGCCUGGCAGCCUUUGGAAAAGGAAAGAAGAAGCCGAGAGCAGAGAGAAGCAGGGAAUGGUGUGCAGAGCACCGGAUGAGGAGCAGGAGCCUUCGGUUCCUAGUCAACCCAGCCACUACCUGGCUGUGCAGUCUUCUGUGAGCCCCUGCCCUCUCUGGGCUGGCCUCCCUCAUUUGUGAGCUGAGGCCCUUGCUCUGGUCAUCUCGGAGAACUGUCCAGAUUAAAAGUGCAAUCGUCUGUGAUUCCAGGGCUCUAGGGUGGGACAAACCAGAGAAGCCACACAGCAGGGGCAGGUCCUGGGACGGGAUAGCAGGUGGGGUCUGGCUAAGCCUGGAUCAGGAUCAGCAGCUAGUUCCAAAGAGUUAGGGGCAAGGGCAAGGGUCAAAGCAGACCCACCUCGUACACAGACUGUGAAAAUCCAGCUUUUCUGGAUCGCCCCAGCCUGGCACCCCUGCCUAUUUGAGAGGGUCUCAAAGGGGCUGGUGGCUUCCUGGUCCCUACCCUUGAGUCCUCAGCAGCACCCCCAAGAGAGUGGAAGAAAUUAGGAGCUGAGAAAAGCCACCCAGCCUGACCUCUUGCUUAUACAGAUGGGGAAGAGCUCAGAGAGGACAAGUGACUUGCCCAGAAUCACACAGCCCAGUGGAGCAGGGCCAGGACUAGAAUGCAGUGCUCUUUCCCCCAGGCCGUACUGCCUGCCUGAGGGAGUCGUGGAGUCCAGGCUACGCUUAAGAGGAUGGACAUUUGAGAGGUCAGAGUGCUUUCCAACAUGCCCAUGAGACCGCCUUCCUUGAUGAAACACACAAACGUCUAGGCGUUUCUGUCCCCCCCACCCCCAGAAGGCAGGGUGAGGAGAGGUGAUCCCCAGGGCACUGCGGCAGGAACAGAGUUCAGAACGCAGCCGUCCCUCCCAUGGUCAGUCACCUGCCAGGUGUCUAGACAGCUGUUGGCGACCUGAGUCAGAUGGGCGCUGGUGCCUUUUGCCCCCCUUUUUUGUUCUCUGUCCCUGCUCCCCUGCGCACUUAGCCUGAAGCAUGAUGCAAGAGCUGCAGGUUGUAGGGCAGCUCCUCCUCAUGGAGGCUCCUCCUAGACCUGUUGCUUCCAGCCCCCAGAUCCGUGUUUCCAUUUAGAGCACAGCUCAACUGCUCAGCACCUCGGGCCCAGCUCCCCCACAGAUGGAGUGACGGCGUGCUUCAGCCAGAACCUGCCGAGAUCUAGGUUGCCCUGGUAACAGCCAAUGACAUCAGCCCCAGUGCUGGGUCAAGCAUCUCAUCAUGACAUACGCUGUUGCUGGGGUGACGGCGGAAUUCAGAACUUAGAUUUCCGGGACAGCGGGCUUUCUUGGGUUUCUUUUACUGUUGAGGGUGCAGCUUUUGUGGACGGCUUGGGGGGAAGAAAGAGUCCUAGGAAGGAGAUGAUAAAACUUGUUUGAUCCCUUGAGCCCCCCCAGAGGUACCACCCCUCGUCCUUUAUGCUUUGUCAUGGUGAUGCGAGACCUCUGACCUGCGCUGAGUCACCCUGGCAGCCCUCCAGAGGCGAGCAGAACAAAUUGAAGAUGUAGCGGUGUAGGCGCUGAGUCUAGGCCAUUGGUGAGGGGCCUGGGUCCCCAUUUCCGUUCCAGGAAGAGGAUCGCCCCAAAGCCCCCACCCCUUCAUCUACUGAUCUUCCUCCUCACCUGUGCUGAACGCCUGCUGUGUGGACUCCAGGUAUGACCUUCAGCUGCUCCUGGGCACAGCCAGGAAGACUGGGGAAGAGAAAUUGCGCUCAGUUGCGUCCUUGAGCCACUCCUGGCUGCAGUCGAGGCUGCAGCCGUGUUUGUUAAGGCCGUUGCAGGUGGCAGGCACCAUACCAAGCACCUCAUGGGCAUCCCCUCAUUAUCCUCACAGCACUUGUAAGCUAGGACUCUUCUGAGCCCCAUGAGACACGUGAAGAAACAGGGGCCCAGAGAGGUUAAGGAACCUGCCCGUGGCCAUCAGCCAGUAAGUGAAGGAGCCCAGAGUUCAAGGCAGGGGAUGUCCAGCCUGAUGUCAGCCGGAGGGGACAGGCACGACCACUCUCUGUGGAGUGGGGUCGGGUCAUCCAUUCACCUGGAUGACCCCGUUCACCACCCGAGAGGAACAGAGGUGUGGGAUGGGCUGGCCCUAGGGUCCCCUUGAGUGAGGCCGUGGGAGGGGCCUCAGCCCCUUUAGGCACCUGUCCCUGUGCGGUGGGCCCGCACCCAGCCCUCCUCUCACCUGCUGGGGUUUCCAGGAGAGCUGAAAGGGGAGAGGAAGCUGGACGGCUCCCCAGGUCGAUGGUCCUCAAGCCCCUGCUUUGGGCCAAGCCUUGUGCCAGGUGCUUCACAGCUCUUCACUUGCCAGAUUUUCCCACUUUGUGGCCCAGGGGCCCCUACUCAACAGCCCAAGGGCACAGAACGCCUUGCUGCCCUUGUGCAUGACCCGGGACUGCAGAUUUGGGCAGGAAGGGCUCCGAAGCCCUCGUUUCCCAGCUGAGGAUGCCGGGGCCCAGGGAGGGUGAGCCCAGCUUUCUGACUCUGCAUCCAGUGAUCUUCCCACCACCUCGCGACCCCACCCAGUGAUCUUUCCACCACCCCGUGACCCCCCCCUCCCGAACUGGGUUCUGCCUUUUCUACACUUCCCAGCACCCUUGCCCGAGCAAACUGGGGGAGGGAUCUUUCCCGCAAGAGAUGGAAUCAUCCAUCAUUCUCUUCGCCUUCUUCGUCCCAGCUUCCUGUCACUCCAAGCCCCCCCCGCCCCGACCCACCGCCAUGACCCUGCCCCUGCCAGGUGGGGAAGGGGCUGACAGGAGCCCUGGCUGAGCAGCGAGUGAGCAUGUCAAGCUGUUGGACACUGUGACAUUAGUGCAUCCUACCGGUGACCCACCUCCCCGCCCCUUCUCCCGCCUGAUUUUGUACAUAAAGUGACAUGAGAUGCAACGUGUGUGUGCGUGCGUGUGUAUGACAUAUGUCAUGGGUUUUGUUACAUUUUUGUUUUUGUAACUUUGAAUGUUCAAAAUAAACAUGAUGUUUAC
rnacentral:lncRNA from 1 species